AAAGCGGUACGUGAGCUGGGUUUAGAACGUCGUGAGACAGUUCGGUCUCUAUCUGUCGCGGGCGGAGGAGGUUUGACGGGAGCUGCCCCUAGUACGAGAGGACCGGGGUGGACGGACCUCUGGUGUGCGAGCUGUUCCGCCAGGAGCAUCGCUCGGUAGCUAUGUCCGGCAGGGAUAAGCGCUGAAGGCAUCUAAGCGCGAAACCCGCCUGAAGAUGAGACCUCCCGGGGCGUAAGCCCCCUGAAGGGCCCUGGUAGAUGACCAGGUUGAUAGGCCGGAGGUGUAAGCGCCGUGAGGCGUUCAGCUGACCGGUACUAAUCGCCCGUGCGGCUUGACCAC
rnacentral:rRNA from 1 species